rnacentral:lncRNA from 1 species
GAGUGAGACAAUGUAAACAGUGUGAGAUCUCUCAGAUGGACUGAGUGUAACAGUUUUGUAGACUGUUACAAACUCAAGGUUGGUUACGCUAGCCUGAAUAGGCCCAAGUUUCAAGUUCCUAGAAAACACAUGAUCUGUACUGUUACAUUAGUAUUAGGUAAUGGCUAAUGCUAAAUAAGGAUAAAAUAGCUAGGAUUAGUAGUAUUAUAAUGAGAUUCCUUGUUUCUGGGGUAGAUUUUUCACGUUUUAGAUUGUAAGGCUGCAAUUCCUGUCCAAUGGGAAUUUACAGCCAGUGGUGGGUGAGUGCCUCAGCUUUAGGACUAUAUAACCUUUGUUCUGACCUUUGUGCCUUGCCUCGCUUCGCUCAGACUGCCGGACGAAGCAGACGCCCGCUUCUUGCGAGAACGUCAUAAAUCUUUCACUUUAUACCUAGAAAAUCUCUGAGUGUUAUUUUUGGGUAACUGUAGCAUACAGUAUUUGGUGCGUUGGCCGGGAAAACGUGACCAGGUGGAAGGACAGAGUCCUGGUCCUCUUGGGUCGGCGCGCCCUGACUUAAUUUUAGGCAGCCCAUGCUGCUUGGGAUUUCUUCCCCUUGCACCAGGUGAAGUGACCCGAAGUGGAGAGGCUGGGUGUAUAGUGAAAGUAAAGGAGAGUACUCUGCGGCAAAUCCCCGACCGUCGGUGUGGACAGAGCAGUCAGAGGGAUUACUACAACUGGAUGAGCCAAAAAUACAUGCAAAAAAAAAUGCAAGAAAUUUUGGAGAAGCAGGACGCGAAGAAAAGGAGAAUCAAAAAGGUCUCUCGAGGAAGAAGCAAAUUUAACCAAGCCUUAAAAGGAUCUGAGAGUUCUAAGAGACAAGAGGUGAAGAAAGAGAGUCUAUCAAGAUUGGGAGACAGAUUGCACAACAGUAGAGAGGCAGAGACUGCAUUUUAUAUGUAUAAAAGUGGUUACCUUUGCCCACUGCCUGAAGGCCAGACGGACUAGAUUUCACCCUUCUCUCAAGAUUUUCUGGUAGUUUAUGAUUCUGGAGAGAGUAUAGAAGAUAGCCCAGAGUGUCAAACACUGUGGUAAGGACAAGAAAGAUAGGAAGUGAGAAAAUAUCAUGUGUUUGAAGGAGAAGAGAGAGACAGAGACAGAGACAGAGACAGAGAUAGAGACAGACAGGCAGAGAGAGAGAGAUUAUUGAUGACUAUAGGGAAAUCA